rnacentral:lncRNA from 1 species
GAGCCCGGAGGGGGUCUGCGCGACUGACUAGACGGCCCGCCCGCCUCCAUGCCCAGGAGCAGGCGGCUCUUGAGCCCGUCGCGCCAGUGGAUCAUGACGCCCAAGGGCGGCGAGGGGCGACCGCCGCCGUAUCCGCGCACCGACCGAUCGCGCAGCCUGGGCGGGGCCCCAACCGAGACUGAUGCGCAGCUGAACAGGGCGCGCAGCGCCGACGACGUUCUCGACCCACCGUCGAAGCGCAAGCUCAACUUCAUGGACCGUUGUGUGAACAAAGUGCGAUCUCUAAUCAGGAAAUGAUGGCAGCCUACACUAGUGAUAUACCUACCUAUAUUUGUUUUGUUGAUUUCUGUUUGUUUGACUAAGUCCGGCAACUAUGUUCCAGUAAGUACAAAAAUGCCGUCACGCGCGUGCCUUAAACCGACUGUUUUACAAUGGCGCGCAGUAUUUUGUGUCGCAUAGGCUGGGGGGCGCAGCCCGAUCCCCUCACCUGUAUUUUAUCACUGUUCAAUGUGUUUUAACAUAUUUUUUGAAAAAAGCGUUUUUUUCUCUAGAUCUUAGCCCAUUUUAAACUAUUGCCAAUUUUAAUUAAUUUCAUUUCGAUUGUAGUUUAUUUUACAUGUGUUUAACACUUUUAGCCUAUAGGAAUGCAAAGCGGUUUUUCUAUAUUUUAUGUUAAAUUUCCAAAUAUAUUUUAUGAAAACUA